rnacentral:lncRNA from 1 species
GGAAGGACCAUUACUCUUGUGCCAUUAACACCGGCACAAGUCUAUGAAGACCAAUUAAAAUUGAGAAGUGAGGAAGAGAGGAGAGCAAAAGAGUUAGAAAAAAUGAGAGCAAAUAGUGAGUUGGAGAAAAAGAGAGAAAAUAUUGAAAUAGCCAUUAGAGAGAAAAAGAGAGAGCAAUCACAAGAGAAAAAAGAAAGAGAGUGCCCCGAGAGAAGAGAGAAAACACGAGUGAAUUUUUUUGCAAAAGAGAGUAAUUUGAGGAGGGCGGUAGUUGAGAGAAGAGAGAUGAUCUUGUUCGUUU